rnacentral:misc_RNA from 1 species
GUGAGAACGCAGCGAAACGCGAUAUGUAAUGUGAAUUGCAGAAUUCAGUGAAUCAUCGAAUCUUUGAACGCACAUGGCGCCUUCCAGUAUCCUGGGAGGCAUGCCUGUCCGAGCGUCGUUUCAACCCUCGAGCCCCCGUGGCCCGGCGUUGGGGAUCUGCCCAGGCAGUCCCCGAAAACCAGUGGCGGACCCGUUACAGGCCCUUCCCUUGCGUAGUAGCAUUCGCCUCGCAUCGGGAGCCGGCGGGCUUCCAGCCUCUAAACCCCCAUCAAGUCCGCCCCGGCGGCACCAAGGUUGACCUCGGAUCAGGUAGGAAUACCCGCUGAACUUAAGCAUAUCAAUAAGCGGAGGA